UACGAAGGGUGCAAGCGUUACUCGGAAUUACUGGGCGUAAAGCGUGCGUAGGUGGUUCGUUAAGUCUGAUGUGAAAGCCCUGGGCUCAACCUGGGAACUGCAUUGGAUACUGGCGAUCUGGAGUGCGGUAGAGGGUAGCGGAAUUCCCGGUGUAGCAGUGAAAUGCGUAGAUAUCGGGAGGAACAUCCGUGGCGAAGGCGGCUACCUGGACCAGCACUGACACUGAGGCACGAAAGGCGUGGGGAGCAAACAGGAUUAGAUA
rnacentral:rRNA from 1 species